rnacentral:rRNA from 1 species
AUUGAUUUUAUGCUUGCAUAAAUGAUUUUUGGAUUCGGAGCGAGUGGCGAACUGGUGAGUAACACGUGGGUAACCUGCCCCGAAGCGGGGGAUAACAUUUGGAAACAAGUGCUAAUACCGCAUAAUUAGUUGGGACCGCAUGGUUCCAACUUGAAAGAUGGCUCUGCUAUCACUUUGGGAUGGACCCGCGCCGUAUUAGUUAGUUGGUGAGAUAAAAGCCCACCAAGACGAUGAUACGUAGCCGACCUGAGAGGGUAAUCGGCCACAUUGGGACUGAGACACGGCCCAGACUCCUACGGGAGGCAGCAGUAGGGAAUCUUCCACAAUGGACGAAAGUCUGAUGGAGCAACGCCGCGUGAGUGAUGAAGGUUUUCGGAUCGUAAAACUCUGCUGUUAAAGAAGAACAAGUGUUAGAGUAACUGUUAACACUUUGACGGUAUUUAACCAGAAAGCCACGGCUAACUACGUGCCAGCAGCCGCGGUAAUACGUAGGUGGCAAGCGUUGUCCGGAUUUAUUGGGCGUAAAGCGAGCGCAGGCGGUUUUGUAAGUCUGCUGUGAAAGCCCUCAGCUCAACUGAGGAAGUGCAGUGGAAACUACAAAACUUGAGUACAGAAGAGGAAAGUGGAACUCCAUGUGUAGCGGUGAAAUGCGUAGAUAUAUGGAAGAACACCAGUGGCGAAGGCGGCUUUCUGGUCUGUUACUGACGCUGAGGCUCGAAAGCAUGGGUAGCGAACAGGAUUAGAUACCCUGGUAGUCCAUGCCGUAAACGAUGAAUACUAGGUGUUGGAGGGUCUCCGCCCUUCAGUGCCGCAGCUAACGCAUUAAGUAUUCCGCCUGGGGAGUACGACCGCAAGGUUGAAACUCAAAGGAAUUGACGGGGGCCCGCACAAGUGGUGGAGCAUGUGGUUUAAUUCGAUGCUACGCGAAGAACCUUACCAGCUCUUGACAUCUUCUGCCAACCCAAGAGAUUGGGCGUUCCCUUCGGGGACAGAAUGACAGGUGGUGCAUGGUUGUCGUCAGCUCGUGUCGUGAGAUGUUGGGUUAAGUCCCGCAACGAGCGCAACCCUUAUUAUUAGUUGCCAGCAUUUAGUUGGGCACUCUAGUGAGACUGCCGGUGAUAAA